rnacentral:hammerhead_ribozyme from 1 species
AUUCGCUGACGAGUCUCAGACAGGAUGAAACACGCGUCCUGGAU